GCAGCGGAGGGGAGGCCAGGGGAACAGGUUGCAGCGUGGUCCAGCCUAGUUGGAGCCAAGUGUCCAACUCCCUCCUCCUGACUCCAUCUUCAGCAGCUUGCGGGAGCCCGGCCACCCAUCCUUUGGGUCGGGGGGGGCAGCGGGCAGGGAUGGCAGGACGAGCCCCAAGGCAGGCACCUGCUGCAGCAGGGAUGCUCAGCCUUUCCCUGCCGGGGUAGGAGCGUGCAAAUGCGAUGCCGGCUUCCCGCAGGAGCCGGGGCCACGAAAUUAAAGGCUGCCGCGCCUCUGCAGCUCAGGGACAGCUUUGCUUUAAUGAAGUCAGUGGCAACACACGCGCACACGAGCGCGCACACACACACACACACGCACACACACGCCCGGCUCGCUCCCUCGCUCCAUCCAGUGCAUUCUUUUGGCAAGCACAGGAACUGCCGCAAAGGAAAGUCAGAGGCGAGGGAGGGUCUGAAGGGAACAAAGGCAAUAGGGGAGCUCCCACCCUGCAAGAAGCACCCCCUGCCCCGGCUGCAAAGGGCUCUCCAGCACACGGGUGCUCCUAGAAUCAUUUACCACAGCUGCGUGCCUCAAGCUUGCAAGAAAGCUGCUUCCCACCAAGCAAGCCUCAUGCAGCUAAUAACAUCAUCCAUGAAAGAUGAGACACAACACCGGCUCUUUCAGCCGCAUGGAGGCAGAGCUGCUGUAACAUUAUGCUCCAGCCCAAAAGGCUCCCCACGGUUGGUGCUGCAGGUACCGACCUGGGUGAGCAGCAGAGAGCUCUCCUGUCCUGCCAAUCCAUGGACCACGCGCUCCCAGAUGGACUACAGGGAGAUCACACCAUGCAGGGGAGACCUAGCAAACUCCAACAAAGCCAUUAACUCCAAGAUGCUACAAGACAGGAGGUGGCUUUUAAUGAUGCUAUCCUUUAGGAGCACUGUCCUGUACUGUGGGCAGAGAGCAUCAUUUCCUACAGGACACUGAAACCUGCC